AACGGCCUUACCAUGCUGAAUAUACCGGUUCUCGUUAGAUCACCGAAGUCAAGCAUCAUUGGGCGCGGUCAGUACUUGGGUGGGUGACCACCUGGGGACCACCGCGUGCCG
rnacentral:rRNA from 1 species